UACGGAGGGGGCUAGCGUUGUUCGGAAUUACUGGGCGUAAAGCGCACGUAGGCGGCUUUGUAAGUUAGAGGUGAAAGCCCGGGGCUCAACUCCGGAAUUGCCUUUAAGACUGCAUCGCUAGAAUUGUGGAGAGGUAAGUGGAAUUCCGAGUGUCGAGGUGAAAUUCGUAGAUAUUCGGAAGAACACCAGUGGCGAAGGCGACUUACUGGACACAUAUUGACGCUGAGGUGCGAAAGCGUGGGGAGCAAACAGG
rnacentral:rRNA from 1 species